AAAUUGAAGAGUUUGAUCAUGGCUCAGAUUGAACGCUGGCGGCAGGCCUAACACAUGCAAGUCGAACGGUAACAGGAAGCAGCUUGCUGCUUUGCUGACGAGUGGCGGACGGGUGAGUAAUGUCUGGGAAACUGCCUGAUGGAGGGGGAUAACUACUGGAAACGGUGGCUAAUACCGCAUAACGUCGCAAGACCAAAGAGGGGGACCUUCGGGCCUCUUGCCAUCAGAUGUGCCCAGAUGGGAUUAGCUUGUUGGUGGGGUAACGGCCCACCAAGGCGACGAUCCCUAGCUGGUCUGAGAGGAUGACCAGCCACACUGGAACUGAGACACGGUCCAGACUCCUACGGGAGGCAGCAGUGGGGAAUAUUGCACAAUGGGCGCAAGCCUGAUGCAGCCAUGCCGCGUGUAUGAAGAAGGCCUUCGGGUUGUAAAGUACUUUCAGCGGGGAGGAAGGUG
rnacentral:rRNA from 1 species